UUCUAAUAUGGCAGAAUAGUGCAUUGGAUUUAAACCCCAAAUAUAAAGACUAUUUAUCUUUUUUUAGA
rnacentral:tRNA from 1 species